AUUGAACGCUGGCGGCAGGCUUAACACAUGCAAGUCGAGCGGAGAUGAGGUGCUUGCACCUUAUCUUAGCGGCGGACGGGUGAGUAAAGCUUAGGAAUCUGCCUAUUAGUGGGGGACAACAUUCCGAAAGGAAUGCUAAUAACGCAUACGCCCUACGGGGGAAAGCAGGGGAUCUUCGGACCUUGCGCUACUAGAUGAGCCUAAGUCGGAUUAGCUAGUUGGUGGGGUAAAGGCCUACCAAGGCGACGAUCUGUAGCGGGUCUGAGAGGAUGAUCCGCCACACUGGGACUGAGACACGGCCCAGACUCCUACGGGAGGCAGCAGUGGGGAAUAUUGGACAAUGGGCGGAAGCCUGAUCCAGCCACGCCGCGUGUGUGAAGAAGGCCUUUUGGUUGUAAAGCACUUUAAGCGAGGAGGAGGCUACCUGGAUUAAUACUCUAGGAUAGUGGACGUUACUCGCAGAAUAAGCACCGGCUAACUCUGUGCCAGCCGCCGCCGUAAGAC
rnacentral:rRNA from 1 species